UUAUUGGGGUCAUUGAUGGAGCGCGAUCCUGGCGGCCCCAAACCCCGACGAGAAGACCAAGCAGGAGUUGGAGGAUUUGACCGCCGACAUCAAGAAAACGGCGAACAAAGUUCGCUCCAAAUUGAAAGCCAUCGAGCAGAGCAUCGAGCAGGAGGAGGGGCUCAAUCGCUCCUCGGCCGAUCUGAGAAUCCGCAAAACGCAGGUACGGAACGGGGCGGGGCUUCGGCAUCAAUGACAUCAUCAUCAUUAAUGACGUCAUCAUCAUCAUCAUCAUCAUCAUCGUCAUCAUCAUCAUCAUCAUCA